rnacentral:rRNA from 3 species
GCACUCCCGGGGCGUCUCUAUCUCAUUGCGAGAGGAGGCGCACCUAGAGCGUACACGCUGAUACCCGAAAGAUGGUGAACUAUGCCUGGCCAGGACGAAGCCAGGGGAAACCCUGGUGGAGGUCCGCAGCGAUUCUGACGUGCAAAUCGAUCGUCGGAGCUGGGUUUAGGGGCGAAAGACCAAUCGAACCAUCUAGUAGCUGGUUCCCUCUGAAGUUUCCCUCAGGAUAGCUUGCGCUCGAAUUGAAACGAGUCUCAUCCGGUAGAGCGAAUGAUUAGAGGCCUUGGGGUCGAAACGACCUCAACCUAUUCUCAAACUCCAAAUAGAUGAGAACCCCGGCUUUCUUGAACUUUGUUUAUGAAGCCGGGGGCUUGGAUCAGAGUGCCAAGUGGGCCAAUUUUGGUAAGCAGAACUGGCGCUGUGGGAUGAACCAAACGCGGAGUUAAGGCGCCUCAAUCGACGCUCAUGUGAAACCAUGAAAGGCGUUGGUUGCUUAAGACAGCAG